UACGUAGGGUGCGAGCGUUGUCCGGAAUUACUGGGCGUAAAGAGCUCGUAGGUGGUUUGUCGCGUUGUCCGUGAAAACUCACAACUCAAUGUGGGCGUGCGGGCGAUACGGGCAGACUGGAGUACUGCAGGGGAGACUGGAAUCCUGGUGUAGCGGUGGAAUGCGCAGAUAUCAGGAGGAACACCGGUGGCGAAGGCGGGUCUCUGGGCAGUAACUGACGCUGAGGAGCGAAAGCGUGGGGAGCGAACAGG
rnacentral:rRNA from 1 species